rnacentral:rRNA from 1 species
AGAGGUGUGGGAUGAGCCCGCGGCCUAUCAGCUUGUUGGUGGGGUGACGGCCUACCAAGGCGACGACGGGUAGCCGGCCUGAGAGGGUGUCCGGCCACACUGGGACUGAGAUACGGCCCAGACUCCUACGGGAGGCAGCAGUGGGGAAUAUUGCACAAUGGGCGCAAGCCUGAUGCAGCGACGCCGCGUGGGGGAUGACGGCCUUCGGGUUGUAAACCUCUUUCACCAUCGACGAAGGUCCGGGUUCUCUCGGAUUGACGGUAGGUGGAGAAGAAGCACCGGCCAACUACGUGCCAGCAGCCGCGGUAAUACGUAGGGUGCGAGCGUUGUCCGGAAUUACUGGGCGUAAAGAGCUCGUAGGUGGUUUGUCGCGUUGUUCGUGAAAUCUCACGGCUUAACUGUGAGCGUGCGGGCGAUACGGGCAGACUAGAGUACUGCAGGGGAGACUGGAAUUCCUGGUGUAGCGGUGGAAUGCGCAGAUAUCAGGAGGAACACCGGUGGCGAAGGCGGGUCUCUGGGCAGUAACUGACGCUGAGGAGCGAAAGCGUGGGGAGCGAACAGGAUUAGAUACCCUGGUAGUCCACGCCGUAAACGGUGGGUACUAGGUGUGGGUUUCCUUCCUUGGGAUCCGUGCCGUAGCUAACGCAUUAAGUACCCCGCCUGGGGAGUACGGCCGCAAGGCUAAAACUCAAAGGAAUUGACGGGGCCCGCACAAGCGGCGGAGCAUGUGGAUUAAUUCGAUGCAACGCGAAGAACCUUACCUGGGUUUGACAUGCACAGGACGCGUCUAGAGAUAGGCGUUCCCUUGUGGCCUGUGUGCAGGUGGUGCAUGGCUGUCGUCAGCUCGUGUCGUGAGAUGUUGGGUUAAGUCCCGCAACGAGCGCAACCCUUGUCUCAUGUUGCCAGCACGUAAUGGUGGGGACUCGUGAGAGACUGCCGGGGUCAACUCGGAGGAAGGUGGGGAUGACGUCAAGUCAUCAUGCCCCUUAUGUCCAGGGCUUCACACAUGCUACAAUGGCCGGUACAAAGGGCUGCGAUGCCGCGAGGUUAAGCGAAUCCUUAAAAGCCGGUCUCAGUUCG